GUGAAUCAUCAAAUCUUUGAACGCAAAUUGCACUCUCUUCGGAGAGUAUGCCUGUUUGAGGGUCAGCCUAAAAAAAAAAUCGACAUAUUCGCUUUUUCGCGGUUCCAUUCGUCGGAAUUUGGGUCUUCUUAAACCUUUGGUUUUUAAGGGGCUUAAAAUUUUCUUUUUGAUUCAACGAACGUUGCUAAAAUUUAUUUCUUACACUUUUAA
rnacentral:misc_RNA from 1 species